rnacentral:rRNA from 1 species
CCUACGGGAGGCAGCAGUGAGGAAUUUUGCGCAAUGGGGGAAACCCUGACGCAGCAACGCCGCGUGAGUGAAGAAGGCUUUCGGGUCGUAAAGCCCUGUCAGGUGGGAAGAAACUCUUCAGUACUAAUAAUGCUGAAGCCUGACGGUACCACCAGAGGAAGCACCGGCCAACUCCGUGCCAGCAGCCGCGGUAAUACGGAAGGUGCGAGCGUUAAUCGGAAUCACUGGGCGUAAAGCGCGCGUAGGCGGCUUUGUAAGUCGGAUGUGAAAGCCCUGGGCUUAACCUGGGAAUUGCAUUCGAUACUGCAGAACUAGAGUAUGGUAGAGGGAAGUGGAAUUCCCGGUGUAGAGGUGAAAUUCGUAGAUAUCGGGAGGAAUACCGGUGGCGAAGGCGCCCCUCUGGACCAAUACUGACGCUGAGGCGCGAAGGCGUGGGGAGCAAACAGGAUUAGAUACCCUGGUAGUCCACGCAGUAAACGGUGAACACUAGGUGUAGCGGGUAUUGACCUCUGCUGUGCCGGAGCUAACGCAUUAAGUGUUCCGCCUGGGAAGUACGGCCGCAAGGUUAAAACUCAAAGGAAUUGACGGA